UGCCAGUGAUAAACUGGAGGAAGGUGGGGAUGACGUCAAGUCAUCAUGGCCCUUACGACCAGGGCUACACACGUGCUACAAUGGCAUAUACAAAGAGAAGCGACCUCGCGAGAGCAAGCGGACCUCAUAAAGUAUGUCGUAGUCCGGAUUGGAGUCUGCAACUCGACUCCAUGAAGUCGGAAUCGCUAGUAAUCGUAGAUCAGAAUGCUACGGUGAAUACGUUCCCGGGCCUUGUACACACCGCCCGUCACACCAUGGGAGUGGGUUGCAAAAGAAGUAGGUAGCUUAACCUUCGGGAGGGCGCUUACCACUUUGUGAUUCAUGACUGGGGUGAAGUCGUAACAAGGUAACCGUAGGGG
rnacentral:rRNA from 1 species